rnacentral:rRNA from 1 species
GAUGAACGCUGGCGGCGUGCCUAAUACAUGCAAGUCGAGCGAACGGACGAGAAGCUUGCUUCUCUGAUGUUAGCGGCGGACGGGUGAGUAACACGUGGAUAACCUACCUAUAAGACUGGGAUAACUUCGGGAAACCGGAGCUAAUACCGGAUGAUAUUUUGAACCGCAUGGUUCAAAAGUGAAAGACGGUCUUGCUGUCACUUAUAGAUGGAUCCUCGCUGCAUUAGCUAGUUGGUAAGGUAACGGCUUACCAAGGCAACGAUGCAUAGCCGACCUGAGAGGGUGAUCGGCCACGCUGGAACUGAGACACGGUCCAGACUCCUACGGGAGGCAGCAGUAGGGAAUCUUCCGCAAUGGGCGAAAGCCUGACGGAGCAACGCCGCGUGAGUGAUGAAGGUCUUCGGAUCGUAAAACUCUGUUAUUAGGGAAGAACAUAUGUGUAAGUAACUGUGCACAUCUUGACGGUACCUAAUCAGAAAGCCACGGCUAACUACGUG